rnacentral:rRNA from 1 species
GACGAACGCUGACGGCGUGCUUAACACAUGCAAGUCGAACGGUGAAGCGCCUUCCUUUUUGGUGGGUGUGGAUGAGUGGCGAACGGGUGAGUAACACGUGAGUAACCUGCCCCCUUCUUCUGGAUAACCGCAUGAAAGUGUGGCUAAUACGGGAUAUUCUGGGUCUGUCGCAUGAUGGGUCUGGGAAAGAUAUUGUUUCGGUGGGGGAUGGGCUCGCGGCCUAUCAGCUUGUUGGUGGGGUGAUGGCCUACCAAGGCGGUGACGGGUAGCCGGCCUGAGAGGGUGGACGGUCACACUGGGACUGAGACACGGCCCAGACUCCUACGGGAGGCAGCAGUGGGGAAUAUUGCACAAUGGGCGCAAGCCUGAUGCAGCGACGCCGCGUGAGGGAUGGAGGCCUUAGGGUUGUGAACCUCUUUCGCCAGUGAAGCAGGCCUGCCUCGUUUGUGGGUGGGUUGACGGUAGCUGGAUAAGAAGCGCCGGCUAACUACGUG